GGUAUUCCGAGGGGCACACCCGUUUGAGUGUGGAUAUUCUCAAACCUUCUUGGUUUCUUGACCAGGAAGGCUUUGGACUUUGGAGGUUUUUGCUGUCCUUCUGUUGUUGAAGUCAGCUCCUCUGAAAUGAAUUAGUGGGGUCCACUUUGCUGAUCCUUGAUGUGAUAAGAUAUUUCUACGUCUUGGGGUUUUGCACUGUUUACUCUGGAUCCUGCUUCUAACUGUCUUAUAGAAGACAAUAGUUGAGUGAUUGCCACUUGACACAGAAACCUUGACCUCAAAUCGGGUGAGACUACCCGCUGAACUUAAGCAUAUCAAUAAGCGGAGG
rnacentral:rRNA from 1 species